GGUUAAGCGACUAAGCGUACACGGUGGAUGCCCUGGCAGUCAGAGGCGAUGAAGGACGUGCUAAUCUGCGAUAAGCGCCGGUAAGGUGAUAUGAACCGUUAUAACCGGCGAUUUCCGAAUGGGGAAACCCAGUGUGACUCGUCACACUAUCAUUAACUGAAUCCAUAGGUUAAUGAGGCGAACCGGGGGAACUGAAACAUCUAAGUACCCCGAGGAAAAGAAAUCAACCGAGAUUCCCCCAGUAGCGGCGAGCGAACGGGGAGGAGCCCAGAGCCUGAAUCAGCAUGUGUGUUAGUGGAAGCGUCUGGAAAGGCGCGCGAUACAGGGUGACAGCCCCGUACACAAAACGCAUGUGCUGUGAGCUCGAUGAGUAGGGCGGGACACGUGGUAUCCUGUCUGAAUAUGGGGGGACCAUCCUCCAAGGCUAAAUACUCCUGACUGACCGAUAGUGAACCAGUACCGUGAGGGAAAGGCGAAAAGAACCCCGGCGAGGGGAGUGAAAAAGAACCUGAAACCGUGUACGUACAAGCAGUGGGAGCCCCACCACCAAAGCAUUCUCUGGUGUUGAAGGCCCUGCAAAGCAGCAUCGCGGUGGCGGAGCGUCGUUUGCGACGCCCAACACACAAAACAAGCGGUGAGUGCUUUGGGGUGGGGUGACUGCGUACCUUUUG
rnacentral:rRNA from 1 species